rnacentral:rRNA from 1 species
UACGUAGGGUGCAAGCGUUGUCCGGAAUUAUUGGGCGUAAAGAGCUUGUAGGCGGUCUGUCGCGUCUGCUGUGAAAAUCCGGGGCUCAACCCCGGACUUGCAGUGGGUACGGGCAGACUAGAGUGUGGUAGGGGAGACUGGAAUUCCUGGUGUAGCGGUGAAAUGCGCAGAUAUCAGGAGGAACACCGAUGGGCGAAGGCAGGUCUCUGGGCCACUACUGACGCUGAGAAGCGAAAGCAUGGGGAGCGAACAGG